CCCCUCGCCGCCACGCUGCGUCCGCGCCGCCCGUGGCGCUGGCCCUGGCUUCCGGAGCGGGACGGAAGGGCGGGCGGCUGGCGGUGCCGAGGCCGGAGCCGCGUGGGUCCCUUCGGGGAAGGGCGCGGCUCCCCGCCUUGGUCCCGCGUGCGUUUCCUUCUGUUCCCCUCGUUCAUGUCCCCACCCGCCCCCAGGUGCGCAGGACCUCACGCAGUGGCCGCAGUGGAGGCCGCACAGCCGGGGGACAGAGAUCAAAGCGGGGCGGGCCCGGCGCGCCACCGGGACGCGCGCUGCUGGCCCGCCCGGCCAGGAGGGAGAGCAGGCGGAUCAAAGCGCGCGGUGCCGGGGCCGGCCUUUCCGCGCGAGCGAGGCCGGGACGCAGCGCCCCUGGGCAGGACGCGAGGCUCCCUGUAAGCCAGGGCGUCGGCUCUCGCCCUCCACGGGGAGGAGGCCGGGCCCCGGCGAGGCGUCCCACUCCCGCCCUGGCCAGGCUCGGUCCCCGGUCAGGGAUUGCAGAGCCCCCCUUCUGUCGGCUGUGACUCGGGCCUGAGCUGUGUGACUGUGCCGCAUCAAAGUUUGAAGGCCCAGCGAUCAUAAUAGCAGCUGCCAGUUAUUGGGAACCACGUGCCAGGCAGGCCGGGGACCUAUGCCUUUGUGUCGUCGCAUUACUCCUCGUAGCAGCGCCAUUAAAUGCUGGUAUGGCCCACCACCCCCUUUCGCAGAUGGAGGGGCUGAGAUCAGAAGCAGUUUGCCCCAGGCCUCUCGGGAGAAGCGGCACAGCCUGCAUUUGGGCCGGAUCCCUGAUUCUGCAUCUGAGGCUUUUACACUCUGCUAAUCUGGCUCCUGUGACAAUAGAUUCAGGGGGCGCAGCUGGCUGCCAGCUCUGUUGCUUACCUUAGCUCACUGCUGCCUCAUCCCCAGUAGGAAGACCCUUCUACCCAGAGCUAAGCCCCACUUCCCAUUCUGACGAUGCCCAGGACCUGUGAGCUCUAUGCCAGGAGCCUGAAGAUUCCAUGCCAAGUUAGCACCCACCUGUCACACGGGGUCUCCUUGCUCAGGUGAUGGGAAAAGACACGGUCUGUCCAGCAUCUGAGGAGAGGCCGUGAGAAAGUGGGUGAUUUCAGAACGCCCAGUUUGUUGGACCAAGUCUGCCAUGCCGGUGUCAUGAGGCUGGGAAGUGUGGGUGAGCGCAUUUCCCGCGACGUUCACCAAACCCCAGCUACCCCAAGGCUGCCUGCCUCUCUCAUCUCCACCCUCUCUCCCUGGGAGACACGGAGACGGGCAUUUUGGCUAUCCACGUGGCUUUCCAGGUGAGCUAGCUUCAGACGAAUGUGUGCGCCUUGGGGUCUGCCAGCCACACCCAGGGGCAGAGACCUUUCUAACUCAGAAGAGAGGCUGGGGCCUGAUGUCUACAAAGAGCAGUCAUGCUGAGACUGAGUGCCCACUGCUGUGUGACUUCAGGCAAGUUUCUUAACCUCGCUGAACCUUAGGUGUCUCGUCUGUAAGAUGGGGAUAACAAUAUUUGGUCAUUGAGGAUUAAAUAAGAUAACGGGUGUCUUAGAUAUGUAGGAGCCAGUUAAUGACUGAACGGAUCAAACUUUGUCUUAGUUUUAGUGCUGAGCUGUUCCCACAUCCCUAGAGUGGCCUGAGAGCCCUCUACAAGUAUGUGGGAUGCCUAUACUCCAAGGAGCACCUCCACUUCCCCCGUCCUCUGCUGGGCCCCGUUGAGUGCCAGGGAUCCGGCUGUCUCAGGAUUGUUCCUUUGAAUCCCCCCAACAGCCUGAUCUUUGUCCCCCAGGGGAGAUUAGAUUUGGGGAAAUAACCAGACGUCCUUUGGGCCAAGUCUGCUGAGUAGGUGCGUGGUUGCCAAGCCAGGGCCCCCUGUCCUGGGUCAGAAUGUAUCGCAACUGUAAAGUCAGGAGACCCUGUGGCUCCCGACUCUGAAGGCGGGUUAGAAGGAGAAUCUGGACCAGAUCAUCUGGAUGGGCCGCCACUGGUGUUGGUGUGUGUGAGAGUGCCAGUGUGCGUGUGUAUAAAGACACAGAGAUCGUCACACACGCUCAAGCUCGGUGGAUGAACCAAACCAAAGCCAGACUAAUUAACAUGAGGCUGCCUUUCAUCCCUCAGCCCACAAUCUGAUUUUCAUGGAAAUCUUUGUGGGAAAAUUCCAAGCGCUUCUGAUAGAGGCAGAUGCGUGAGAGUGAGGCAGUAAGUCGUCUUGGAAGAGUGCGAGACUUCGAGGUGGGGGUUUCCUCCCAGCUCGGCCCCUAACCAGCUGUGUGACUCCUUGCUGGCAACUCCUUCUCUGUAGGCCUCAGUUUUCCCAUCUGAACGAUGGGGGUCACGAUGCCUGUCCUUCUUAUGAGAAGCAAAUGGGGGGAAUCUGGAUAGGAACAUGCCUAGAAGUCCUGACCUGGUGCGUCAAGGACCUUAAAUGCAUGGACACCCUUUGACCUAACACGCUUAUGGGAAUUUACCCUCAGGAAAGCAACACAGCCGUACGUAGAAGUGUCAGGAUAAAGCUGUUCCCAGCAGCAUGAUUUACAGUAGCAAACACUUCAACGGGACAACAUGUCUGACAACAGUGGCAAAAGUGAUAACCCACCCAGGAUGAACUCAGCGCGAUGCUCCAGGCAGGAAACACACGGACCACGCCCACACGGUGGGUCUACCUCAACCUGUGCCAGUGACACAGCUCGUUAAAAAUUUAAAGCAUUCACAAAGUUCUGUUCGCAAUAGCCAGAACAUCAGAAAUAACCCAACUGUCCACCCACAGAUGAGUGGGUAAACAGACUGUGGGCGCCAUACGAUGGGAUACCGUAAAACAAUAAGGCGUGGGCUGGUGAGAGACUCAGCGACGUCCAUGAGUGUCAGUUAUGCUGAGCAAGAGAUCCUACUCUCUGAUCCCGCUUAUGUUAAAUUAAAUAAAGGUAAAACUAAUCUACAGUGGUAGGAUUCAGAUGGGUGUCUGCCUGGGACCUGGGAGGUAGGGCCCGCCUGCAAGGGGGACUAGGGGACAUUUUGUGGUGAUCGUAUUUUUUUUCUUGAUUGUGGUGCUGGUUACAUGGGGGUAUGCAUGUGUCAAAACUCGUCGAACAGCACAAGUGAAAGAGAUCUUCAUGGAAAUUACACCUCAGUGAAGUUGAUUUAAAAAAUUAGUUGAUAUUUAGAUUUUAUUUUUCAAAUCCCAUAGAGAAUAAUACUUAAUGACACAAAAUACUCACAACAUAUUAAGCGAAAAGGAUCUGAAAUAACCUAUAGUAUGAUCAUACAGACAUGUCUAGUACAUAUAGUAUAUGGUUUGGGAAAGAUACCAGAAGGACUUCAAGAAAACAUACCUGGUAGUUAUCUCACGGGUAAUUUUUGUUUUCUUUUUUGUGCUUUUCUGUAUUUCCAAAUUUUCUGUAACAAACACUUUUCUUUUUAUAAACAAAUUAAAUAAAAACAAAUAUCUCUUUUUCUUUUUUCCAGCUGUGGCAGGUCAGGGACGCAGAGCUGGGUCCAGGACUGGGCUGCGAGGAUGCCCCGGUCCAGCGAAAGGGAACCGCCUGGAAGCUGGUAGCAGAGUGAGAGGCGGGGCCCCUUCCCUGGCUCUUUGGCCGUUUCUGGGCUGGGUUAUUCUCGAGGGCUGCCGUGCCCACUGGGCUCUGCCGAUGAAGGGAGGAGGCCUGUCCCUGAACCAGCUGGGGUAGCCGUGAAGCCAGACCCUCCCGUUUGGAGUGCCGCAACCCUGUAGCUCUGAGCACCUCUCCCAAAGGUACCAGUCUCCCAUGCUGCCCGGGAAAAGGGUGGGGAGCGGGGUUCUGGUCUCUCUGCCCCUGUGCCACUUUCCCCACCGGAGGAGCCCCUCCUUGGUGAGUUGCAGGGACUGGGGGGAGGGCGGGGGGGGCAGACCCUGUGCCAGAGCCAGAGCACUCUAGCGCAUCUCCUGCCCGGCUUGGCCUUGUGAGGCUGGGGCUAUUGUUUACCGCCACCACUCUCUCCAAACUGGGGAAACUGAGGCUCAGAGAGAAAUGACUUGCCCAAAGUCCCCGGGCCAGUAGCCAGUGGAGCUCAGACUUGGCCUCAUGCCUGGAUUCUCACCACCUUCAGACUUCAGUUCCUGGGAGCUUCUGGGCCCCAAAUAGCUGGUUCAUGGAGCGCAGAUUUGGGGGCAAGGGCUGUGUUUCUCCUGUGUCUGUUGUCUGCUCUGGGUUCUUGUGCGAUUUGUAAUCUACUGCACAAUCAGGGGGCCUGUCGGCUGGGCUUGGAGGUUAAAGGUGAGCUUCUUCGAGGAGAGGGCCCCGCCUGCUUUGGGGGCUGCUGGGACCCCAGCAUCGCCCUCUCCCUCCGCCAUCGGGCCCCCUCCCUCUAGCCAGCUGGCCUCACAGAGGUGCCAACAAGGAGACCAGAUUGGCUUGGUUGCUUUUCCCUCCCUGACUGAAGGGGUUCUGCAGCAGACUGAGGAAACGAAAAAGAAGAGCCUGAAACUGUUACAAAAAAAUUUUCUUUAACCAAGUCACAAAUGAGAAAGAUGAGGCAGCAGCAGGUUAAGGACACUUUGUGACGUCGAGUUUUUAUCACUCGGCACUUCCAUGACCGCAAGUGUCACAAUUUAUGGUCCCUGUGGCCAGGCAACCGCAGAGCCCGUGGAUUUACCCCCGCGUGUGGAGCUGCGCUGAAUGCAGUCGGCACACAGGAGCCCACUGUUGGGGCCGCAGCCGUGCACCCGUCCUCCUGCCGGCCUCGCUGCAGUUUCUGUUAAAAACUCUCCCACCGUCCCGGCUGCUCAGAACACCCUGCAGUGGGAGCUGUCACCCCCUGCACGUGGGAGCCGAGGCCCUGAGACGGCAGCCGGCGCCCACACGGCGGAGCUGGGGGCUGAGCGUGAAUGAUUCCGACUCUCAGAGCUGUACUAUUUCCAUAACAACUUCCUGCCUCUUUCAGGGAUCAGCUACAUAAUUUUCAGGGCCCAGGGCAAAAUGGAAAUGCAGGGCCGCUUGUUCAAAAGAUGAAGAAUUCUAAGAUGGGGACAGCAGAGCAGUGAGCACGGGGCUGCAGCACAGGUCACACGCCCAUGAAGCCUGCUGGGACAAGAUCUUGACGGUUUUUGAUGGAGCUAGGGUGAGCGACAUCCCCUUUUGGGACGAACAGCACCAGUGACCAGAUGUCAGAAAGCAAAUGGGUGCAAGCUCCAGGAAGACGUGAGGUUCUCAACGCGUUUUCCGGUCCUGAAAACACCAAGUGGCGGCAGCUGAGGAUGGGAGAGGGCGAGCCAGGCAGGCUUCCCUCCCCAGGAGAGGGCCAAGCCUCUGUGCUAGGAGCUUUCACUUCAGGUGAGGGGUAUCUACUGCAUAUUGUUGUGAAAUGUCACACCCUGGCACUGAGCCUCAAGACUCGAUGGAACUUCAACCGCUCUGCUGGAGUGUGCACAGCUGGCCUGCCUACAUCCUGGGGAGAAAUGAGAAGAGCCGACGCCCAUGCUUGCUCCUGUAAAAACACAAUAAGAAACCUCAUUCCACUCCCUCUGGGAAAGGAUCCUGGGGUUCACUGGUGGGUGGAUUUUACCCCCAAAUGAGGCCAAAUGCAGGCACUGGGGACAAACUGGCAGCCUGUGUAUGUAAGCUGAUGAGUAUUUGCGGCUCUGAAAACUGGCUCCAUGUCCCCCCCGCCCCAGCCAGCCCCAGGCACCACCUGUCCACCUCCACUACCUCCAUGUCCUCAGCCCCAUGAAAAGUUCCGGAAGUCUCCAGAUGGAUGGGCAGCACCAUCAAGUGCCCCCGUGGCUGCACCCUCUUCCGUGAACCACGUAUGGAGGUCCAGGACCGACUCCAGAAAGGAUCACAUUUGAGAAUCGCUAGUGCUCUCUGGAGCUCGGAACACCGCCCACUUUUGUGGAACAAGAGACAACAUGCUGCCCCCACCCCAACCCUCACCCUGGUGUCCACGGCCCCCUCACUCAAUUUUAAGAAACAAACAGAUAACCCCACGCUCCCCAGCCUGAAACAGUGCUCUGGGACAGCCGGCCUGUGAUCAAGCGUCUCCUCCGUAAGCAUGUCUGGCAGGGAAGGAUGGACAGAUGAAUAGACGAACAGAGCAGUGCAGGAGCAUCUCAAGGCCCAUCGGCAGCUCGACAUCUGUGCCCCUCAGCUCCUGUUCCAGUGCUCACAGGGCCCUCAAAGGGCCUGGGCUUGGCCACUGCACAGGUUCCCAGGCCUGGGGCCACUUGGUAGCCUCCCCCAGCUCAGACGUGUCCCCAAGGACCCUGCCAGGCAGAGCCGAGAAGGCAAAAAACAGCGCCAGCAGCCAAGGAGCUCCCAAGAAGAGGAGGCCCGAGCUUCCAGCUCAGGGUAAGGCCAGGCGUCCUCCUGCCUCACACGCGGAACAUCUGCCUGAAGGGCGAGAACAGGGUCCUACAUGCACCACAGGUGUGGGCGGGAGCAGGUGGGCCUGGGCCAGGACCAGUAUGGAGCCCACAUCCUCUCCUGGACACCAGGGGUCCCAGCUGUCCCUCCACUCCCAGGACAGGAACACAGAGUAGCUGCUCCUGGCGGCUGGCUCAAGCCCCUGUGCUGAGGGGACAAGACAAGGGAUGUGUGGGGAUACAGUCUGAGUGUCAACUACCUUUCAGCAAGCGUCUUGUACCCACUUUUCUCCCCCCUAAAAAAUUUGCCCAAGUCGCUUUGGAGUGGGUUAUGAACCAGGCAGGUGCCGAGGGAGGAGGGUGCCUGGGCGAUGGGAGCAGAGCAGGGCUAGAGAGGACUGGGGGUGCUGGUUUAUCCCUUAAGAAAAAACAACCGAAAAAACUUCUGGGUGGAAUUUCAAGUUCUGGAGAUUUCUAAGUAGCCGGCCCUUUCUCCACCGUAUUUCUUUCUUUCCUCCCCUCUCCCGGCCUGCUUUCCCUCUUUGUUGCCAAGCUCAGACGUCGCUGCUGAAACCCAGCCCAGCGCCCGCGAAGCCCGGAAACUUCCAGCUCGCGAUUGUGCGGAAAGUUGGGGUCGCGGGGCUGGGGUGACAGCGGCGCCGCGGGGCCGGCCGCGGAGGUGACCCGGGGCCGCGGCCGCUCGCGGCCUCGCUCUGCCCGGCGGCGCCUGGGACCUCGGACAGUCCGCCGUCCGGACGUGAACUUGACUCCGGCUGCGGCCUGCCGGACCGCGAGGGCGCUCCGGGACGACCUGAGGGAUGUUGUGCCUCUCUCUGACCACAGCUGGAAAAGGUUCUUCACUUUUAAGGAUUCAUGUGAUCAGAUUGGCCCCACCUGGAUAAUCCUAGCUGCUCUCCCAGCCCCCGGCCCUCAACUUCAUCCACCUGCCGACUGGAUUUGGACUGUUCUGGAUUUGUUCCUGGGCUGAGGAGCUUCCUGCCAGAGGCCCCACCGGCCCCAUCUUUUGCCUACCUCAAGGCAGAGGUUCUGGGAACUCGGGCAGAUUCUCUGCUCAACCAGAAGCUUCUCUUCCUCUCCUCAACUCCAUGGGGCAGGCACUAUUAUCCCCAGUUUACAGCUGCGGCACAGCAUGCUGACCUGUGCACGGCUGAGCAGCUUUGAAUGAGAAAAUAAGAGAGCGUUCCCAGGGCCACGUUUGAAGCUGGGGUGGCACUCGGUCCACGAUGGUGGGUGAGGAUGUGCACCCCAAGGCUGGGACUCAGCGUGGGCACAGAUGGCGUUCCCUCCAAGCUGCCUGCUGCAGCCACCCCCAACCCCAGGGCCAAGGCCUGGGCCUGGCAUGGGAGGAGUUAAGCCACUGCGGCGGGCACCUUGGCACGGCGUGCUGCCCGCCCCCACCGCUUUUCUUCCUUUUUGCCUUUUUCCUUCUUAAUUAAUCAUACGCUGCUGCCCAAUUUAAAUAUGGAAAUACCCAGGCCGGGCGAUGCCAUUAUUCCUGAGGCCGGGCGGGCGGUCCGGGGCUCUGGGCUGCGGGGAGCAUCAUGGCAUCGCCUCUUUUCUGGUGUGUGUGAAAUUAUGUGCACAAAAGGCGUCUCCUUAUCUGAGUGUGUGAACUAAAUAAAUAAAUAAGGGCUUUUGUUUGUUUGCCGGCUCCUGCACAUGACUGUUUUGACUAAAGCGCCCGUGUUGUCUGUGCCUUUCUGGGGCUCAGGAGACGCGGGCAGGGGGAGGCCCCCGCGGGCCGGCCCGGGGCUCUGGGCGGCCGCCGGGCAUCUGGGCCUCUCCCUCCCCUGGCACCGCCUGCACCCCUCACCCCUCCCCACACACCCCUCGCCGGAAAGUUCCCGGCCCGGGCUGGGCUCCCAGGCAGCCUGGCACCGUGCCAGGCUCGCCGCCGAGCGCGGGCAGCAGGGUGGGGCGAGCGGAGGCACCGCCGAGGACGUGGCCGGGCGCCCCGGGCGCGAGCAGGACCCGAGGCCGGGAGGCCGGGGCCCAGAAGGAGUGUGGCAUUUGGCUCUAAUGUCAUCGUGUGAAAAAGACAGUCCCUGCCUGGCCAAGGCGUCGGCACACCUCAGCCUUGACACUUCCUGGUGCGACUGGCACGCUGGAGCACACCUCUCGAGUGAUAAACAGAGCCUAUGCAAAUACUAUCAUUUUAAAGCAAACCCAACAAAAUCUUCACUAAUUGCAGUUCUGCCCUGGCUGCAGGCACCUCCUCCAGUAAUGGGAAAAAAAAAAAAAAAUGGAAUAACGGGAAACACACUAGAUGCCUGGGGAAAAUGUCUCCCCUGCAGGAGCCGGGAUCUGAGGUCUGGGAGCUGCCUCGGGGACCUGGGAGAUCCAAAGCCUCCAUGCAAGGCCUGGGACUCUUCAGUUUGCUCUUCCAAGCCUCAGUUUCCCAGAUGUGAAAUGAGAAGAAAAGGGUCCCUCGCAGCCCACCGUGAAGGCUUGCUGCAGGAAUAUGACAACGGCAGCCAAUGUUUGCCUAGCAAAGCUGGCCGGUUUCAUUUUCUGUUUGAGAGUGUUUCUCUAAAGGGUACAGUGCUAGAGACACGUGAACUACCGUUAUCAUCUGAAUAACUUUCCUGGCAAUAUAUGAUGAUGAUUAUUUAUGUUAAACUCAUAAAUAUUAAAAGGAAUUCAUUUUAUUCUUAUAAUGAAUUAUAUCGGUUUUACUUAAAAUAACUAUAGUUGUAUCGGUUGUAUCCUUUUCUGAUUAUGAAAGCAAUAUAGGGUCAUUGUAGGAAAUUUGGAAAAGGCAGAAAACUGCUUGUAAGGGGAAGAUGGUUCAGCAUCCUCCCCAUUCAAGCUCUGGUCACAUUUCCACGUAUUUCCUUCCAGGCUUUCUUCUCUGCCUUGUCGAUUCUUAUAGCAUCUAUUUUCGGAUAACUCCGUGACACUUUUCGGCGGGGUCCUCCUGUCCUCUUGGCGCUUCUGUCUUUCAGGGGCAGUUCCUCCUCACUGGCCUGCAGGCUGCCUCCUUUAGGCAAGCCGGGCACAGGCCCUGGUGUUCGGGGAGAAGACCUCAGGCUCCCUGGUACCCAGCCUUCUUCCCCUGCUGUUGUGGGAGCUGUGUCGGGGCAGGCCAGACAGACUCCGAACACAGCCCCAUGGCAGAGCCCAGGCUGACUCAGGACGUCGGGGAGAAGGGGCGAGUGGCAUAAGACACAGCCUCUGGCAGGGCCCAAGCCGUGGAGAUGGAGAGAGCCGGGCAGGAGAGGGUAGGGAGGUGGCAGACGGCGGGAAUGUUGCAACAUGUGGGCAGUGGUGAAAGGCAGGCCUGAGGUUUGAAUUCUCGGCAAAGAAAGCCACUUGGGCCGAAUGGGAUGUGCUAUUUCUUAGACGAGUAGAGUGACAUCAGAACUGUUGAGAUAAUGUUUUCAAGGUGUUCAGCUUUAUAGUCCUGACUUAGACCCACUAAGCAGUUGGGGGUUAGUGCCAAGGGACUUGGUAGAAACAGGCCAGCUUUUUCGUGCAAGGGCACAAUUCCCGAACUCUGUGUCGCAAUCAGGCAUGUGCCUCGGCUGUUCCCACAAAUCCGUCAGGCAAAAGUUCCACAUCACCAGGCCUCUGGAGGGAAACAAACCGAUUUCCAUAUUGCUUUCUGGAGUAACUGUGACCUGACAGGAAUUCUAGAAUUUCCAAGUUCAUUUCUGAUAGGAUAAAUGGAGUCUGUGGGGUCUGCCUUAACCUCCUUAGAAUAAUACAGCAGCGUCAAUGUCUUAACAACAGAUCACUAGAGAUUUAUUAGUAACCCACACUGCAGACAAACUUCACAGGCAAAGCCAUUGGUUGUAGUGUUAGUUAUAGGAGAGAAAUUAUUAGCAAGAGAUGAAAUCUGGAAUAAUAGGGAAUGCUGGGGUAAAUUAUCACAUAACAAAAUAAGGGAAUAUUUUGUCACUGUUAAAAUGCUGUUGACAAAGAGUUUGUAAGGGUAUGGGGACGUAUGGAUACAACAUUUCACAAACGGUAAAUAUGUAUGUAAAUUAUGUAAUUGUAUGCAUAUGUUCACUGUUGGGAAGGAAACACAAUAGAAUAUUAUUUCUGGAUAAUGGCGUGUAGGUGAAUCUUCCUUUUUCCAUGUAUUUUAUACUUGAAUUAUUUAUAUUUUAUACUCACUACUUAAAUUAUUUUAAAUAUCUAUCUUUAUAUUUUACUCUGAAAUUAUUUAGCCUUUGCUCUGUCUUCUCUAAACACGUGGUAUUUUUAUAAGCAGGAAAAAAAAUUUUUAAAGGCUCGUGAGUAGAAAUAUACACAAAUGGCAUAUUUUUCUCCAAAGAGCAAUGGAUAGAUGGCAUGUAGCAGAAAUAUUCGUUAGGCAACGAAUAUGAACAGUAA
rnacentral:lncRNA from 1 species